ensembl:lncRNA
UGUAUGUAUGUAUGUAUGUAUUUCUUUAUCCUCCAUGGGUAUCAUAUUGGCUAUUAGGAAUAUUGCUGCAACAGACAUGAAGGUUCAGACAUGAAGGUUCAGACAUGAAGGAUCAGACAUGAAGGAUCAGACAUGAAGGAUCAGACAUGAAGGAUCAGACAUGAAGGAAGGUACAGACAUGAAGACACAGACAUGAAGGAAGGUUCAGACAUGAAGGUUCAGACAUGAAGGCACAGACAUGAAGGCACAGACAUGAAGGAUCAGACAUGAAGGAUCAGACAUGAAGGAAGGCACAGACAUGAAGGAUCAGACAUGAAGGAUCAGACGUGAAGGCACAGACAUGAAGGCACAGACAUGAAGACACAGACAUGAAGGAUCAGACAUGAAGGAUCAGACAUGAAGGAUCAGACAUGAAGGCACAGACAUGAAGGCACAGACAUGAAGGAUCAGACAUGAAGGAUCAGACAUGAAGGCACAGACAUGAAGGCACAGACAUGAAGGAUCAGACAUGAAGGAUCAGACAUGAAGGCACAGACAUGAAGGAUCAGACAUGAAGGCACAGACAUGAAGGCACAGACAUGAAGGCACAGACAUGAAGGUACGAGAUACUGGUUUGAUUUUCUUGAUUGUAAACAUAAAGGAUUGCUGGAGUAGUUCUAUUUUGAUUUUUUUUGAGGAAUUUACAUACUGUUUGCUGUAGUGGGUGGAAUGAUUUUGCCACGAGUAGCGUGCAGAGGGCCCCCCUUUCUCCAUAGCCCUGCAUGCAGCCCUAGUGAUCACUAGUUUUUGCAACAGCUGUUCUCAUGUAUAUAAGAUACUGUCCCACUGUGUUUGGAUUGCUCUGGGGUCUUCAGUAUGGUCUUAGAAGGACUUGGUUACACGGUGUGCUGCUUUUCCUCUGGGAGUACUGACACAGCAGCAGUGGGAAGCUCUGUGGAUCAUGCUACGGAGGCAUGGUUGGAUAAUCCUAGGCAGGUACCUAGUGGAUUAGGU